GGUUAAGCGACUAAGCGUACACGGUGGAUGCCCUGGCAGUCAGAGGCGAUGAAGGACGUGCUAAUCUGCGAUAAGCGUCGGUAAGGUGAUAUGAACCGUUAUAACCGGCGAUUUCCGAAUGGGGAAACCCAGUGUGAUUCGUCACACUAUCAUUAACUGAAUCCAUAGGUUAAUGAGGCGAACCGGGGGAACUGAAACAUCUAAGUACCCCGAGGAAAAGAAAUCAACCGAGAUUCCCCCAGUAGCGGCGAGCGAACGGGGAGCAGCCCAGAGCCUGAAUCAGUGUGUGUGUUAGUGGAAGCGUCUGGAAAGGCGUGCGAUACAGGGUGACAGCCCCGUACACAAAAAUGCACAUGCUGUGAGCUCGAUGAGUAGGGCGGGACACGUGGUAUCCUGUCUGAAUAUGGGGGGACCAUCCUCCAAGGCUAAAUACUCCUGACUGACCGAUAGUGAACCAGUACCGUGAGGGAAAGGCGAAAAGAACCCCGGCGAGGGGAGUGAAAAAGAACCUGAAACCGUGUACGUACAAGCAGUGGGAGCACAGAGCAAUCUGUGUGACUGCGUACCUUUUGUAUAAUGGGUCAGCGACUUAUAUUCUGUAGCAAGGUUAACCGAAUAGGGGAGCCGAAGGGAAACCGAGUCUUAACUGGGCGUUAAGUUGCAGGGUAUAGACCCGAAACCCGGUGAUCUAGCCAUGGGCAGGUUGAAGGUUGGGUAACACUAACUGGAGGACCGAACCGACUAAUGUUGAAAAAUUAGCGGAUGACUUGUGGCUGGGGGUGAAAGGCCAAUCAAACCGGGAGAUAGCUGGUUCUCCCCGAAAGCUAUUUAGGUAGCGCCUCGUGAAUUCAUCUCCGGGGGUAGAGCACUGUUUCGGCAAGGGGGUCAUCCCGACUUACCAACCCGAUGCAAACUGCGAAUACCGGAGAAUGUUAUCACGGGAGACACACGGCGGGUGCUAACGUCCGUCGUGAAGAGGGAAACAACCCAGACCGCCAGCUAAGGUCCCAAAGUCAUGGUUAAGUGGGAAACGAUGUGGGAAGGCCCAGACAGCCAGGAUGUUGGCUUAGAAGCAGCCAUCAUUUAAAGAAAGCGUAAUAGCUCACUGGUCGAGUCGGCCUGCGCGGAAGAUGUAACGGGGCUAAACCAUGCACCGAAGCUGCGGCAGCGACGCU
rnacentral:rRNA from 1 species